rnacentral:tRNA from 1 species
UGAGGUGUGGCUCUGUGGUAGAGUGCUUGCCUUGCACGCAUGAGGCUCUGGGCUCCAUCUGCAGCACUGCAA